rnacentral:rRNA from 1 species
AUUGAACGCUGGCGGAAUGCUUUACACAUGCAAGUCGAGCGGCAGCGCGGGGCAACCUGGCGGCGAGCGGCGAACGGGUGAGUAAUACAUCGGAACGUACCCAGUUGUGGGGGAUAGCCCGGCGAAAGCCGGAUUAAUACCGCAUACGACCUGAGGGUGAAAGAGGGGGAUCGCAAGACCUCUCGCAGUUGGAGCGGCCGAUGGCGGAUUAGCUAGUUGGUGGGGUAAAGGCCUACCAAGGCGACGAUCCGUAGCGGGUCUGAGAGGACGACCCGCCACACUGGGACUGAGACACGGUCCAGACUCCUACGGGAGGCAGCAGUGGGGAAUUUUGGACAAUGGGGGCAACCCUGAUCCAGCCAUUCCGCGUGAGUGAAGAAGGCCUUCGGGUUGUAAAGCUCUUUCGGCAGGAACGAAACGGUCUUUUCUAAUACAAGAGGCUAAUGACGGUACCUGAAGAAGAAGCACCGGCUAACUACGUGCCAGCCGCCGCAGUAAAAC